rnacentral:rRNA from 1 species
GAGUUUGAUCCUGGCUCAGGAUGAACGCUAGCGGCAGGCUUAACACAUGCAAGUCGAGGGGUAGAGUUAGCUUGCUAACUUGAGACCGGCGCACGGGUGCGUAACGCGUAUGCAAUCUACCUUGUACAGGGGGAUAGCCCAGAGAAAUUUGGAUUAAUACCCCAUAGUGUUAUGAUGUGGCAUCACAUUAUAACUAAAGUUCCAACGGUACAAGAUGAGCAUGCGUCCCAUUAGCUAGUUGGUGUGGUAACGGCAUACCAAGGCAACGAUGGGUAGGGGUCCUGAGAGGGAGAUCCCCCACACUGGUACUGAGACACGGACCAGACUCCUACGGGAGGCAGCAGUGAGGAAUAUUGGUCAAUGGGCGCAAGCCUGAACCAGCCAUGCCGCGUGCAGGAUGACGGUCCUAUGGAUUGUAAACUGCUUUUGUACAGGAAGAAACACUCCCCUCGUGAGGGAGCUUGACGGUACUGUAAGAAUAAGGAUCGGCUAACUCCGUGCCAGCC